GCUGGGUAUGAUGGAAAGUGUUAGCUGUCCACAGCCAGCAGACUGAGAUGACACUUGUUUACUGGUCAUGCUUCAAGAACCCUGGGAAGAAUCCUUGCUGUUCCAAGCAAUGUUGGGUUUUGUAGGUGUUCUGUCUUUACAUUUGUACCGAUCUUUUUGAGCCAUGCUGGUAGUUGAGUGCUGAUACUUCCAAGUGUACCAAUUACUAUUGGUAUCACAUCUACUCUCCUCAUUGACCAUAACCUUUGUAUUUCCCUCUUCAAAUCAUUGUAGUUGUUCAGUUUUUCUUCUUUCUCUUUGAUCCUGUUGUCACCAAGACACGCUAUGUUGAUUUUCAUGCAAGUUCUUUCUUUUUUAUUCACCACAACAAUGUCUAGUUUCCAAUGUCUGGUCAGGUGAUUUCACUGAAUCAUUGCAUCCUACAGGAUUUUGCAAUCUUCAUUUUCGGUGACUUCUUCUGGGGUUUGAUCAUACCACAUCUUAGCUGUUUGUAUGCCAUAAUUUCCUUAGAGCUCCCAAUGGAUUAUUCUUGCCACAUUGUCAUGUCAUCUUUAGGCAUUCACUAAUAGUGUGCCAUACUAUUUCAUCCCUCUCACCACACAUUCUGCAUUUGUCUAUUUUGGUAGCAUUGUUGAUUCUGCACUUCACAUAAUUAGUACUUAAUGCUUGUUCUUGUGCUGCACAUAUAAGUGCUUCUGUCUCUACCUUCAGGUCACUACUCCUCAUCCAAAGCCACCAGUCUUCUGCAUCUGUCUGUAUUAGGGUGUCUUUGGUCAUUCUUAUUGUUAACUUGUAGGCCAAAAGACUUUUUUAAAUUUCUGACUUAGCUUCAUGACUGAAACUUGUUUGGAAUCUUCAUGCUUCAGUGCAGUUCAUAAGAGCACAUCACUGGUAAUGCAGUUCAUAAGAGCACAUCACUGGUAAUAAGGUACGUUUCAAGGCCUAUUAUUGCUGGUUUGAAGGAUUGUUUGAACUGUAUCAGGCUUCUUCCACCUAUUUUUCUUGGGAGAUAAAUCUUGUCUACAUCUGAUUUUGGAUGGUGCAUUCAGUAACUUGUAAAGAUUUUACAGAUCUUUCCAUCCAUAUUCUGCAUGUCAGUGAGACUCCACUUAAUGAUACCGAAGCUAUAUGUGGUUACUGGUAUGGCCAAAGAAUUGAUCGCAUUAAUUUUGUUAGCAACAUUUAAUGCUGAGUUUAGGAACAUUCCUACCCUUUUGUAGCAUUUCUUGCAGAUUUUCCCUUCCAUUUUAGAGUGCUAGAUACCAUCACCUUCAUUUGUUCCCAGACAUUUGUAUACUUCGGAUUUGUCUCGGUUUUAAAUAACUGUGGUGGUAUCAAGUUUUAUGUUUUCUGCCUUUAUGAACUUUCCUGCCUUGAAAAUAGCCAUUGUACAUUUAUCAAGUCUGAAUUCCAUACCUAUAUCAGAGCUGAAUUCUUUGACAAUAUUCAGGAGCUCUUCUAAUUCUUUGUCGUUUUUGACAAACAGUUUUAGAUCAUCCAUAUAGAGUAGAUGAUUAAUUUUCUAGUCAAAGAUCUUAUACCCUCUCUUAGCAUAAUUCAGUUGCAUGUCUAUGUGUGUGUGUGUUCUGAUGCUGAAACAUAAGUUCAAAAGAAAUGGAAGUAGAGAGAUGUGUCACUGAAGAGAUUGCAACAAUGUAAUGAAAUAAUUAUUUGACAAAGAAAAAAAAACACAAACAAUACUGAACAAUAUCAAUAAAGAAACGAACCAGUGUGUGUUUAUUAUUACUGGCAUAAUGCCCCUCCUAAGGUUCAGUCAGUAGUGGGAGGAUUGGCACUGAAAGUGUAGCUG
rnacentral:lncRNA from 1 species